rnacentral:rRNA from 1 species
AAGUCGUAACAAGGUUUCCGUAGGUGAACCUGCGGAAGGAUCAUUACAGUAUUCUUUUUGCCAGCGCUUAAUUGCGCGGCGAAAAAACCUUACACACAGUGUUUUUUGUUAUUACAAGAACUUUUGCUUUGGUCUGGACUAGAAAUAGUUUGGGCCAGAGGUUUACUGAACUAAACUUCAAUAUUUAUAUUGAAUUGUUAUUUAUUUAAUUGUCAAUUUGUUGAUUAAAUUCAAAAAAUCUUCAAAACUUUCAACAACGGAUCUCUUGGUUCUCGCAUCGAUGAAGAACGCAGCGAAAUGCGAUAAGUAAUAUGAAUUGCAGAUUUUCGUGAAUCAUCGAAUCUUUGAACGCACAUUGCGCCCUCUGGUAUUCCAGAGGGCAUGCCUGUUUGAGCGUCAUUUCUCUCUCAAACCUUCGGGUUUGGUAUUGAGUGAUACUCUUAGUUGAACUAGGCGUUUGCUUGAAAUGUAUUGGCAUGAGUGGUACUGGAUAGUGCUAUAUGACUUUCAAUGUAUUAGGUUUAUCCAACUCGUUGAAUAGUUUAAUGGUAUAUUUCUCGGUAUUCUAGGCUCGGCCUUACAAUAUAACAAACAAGUUUGACCUCAAAUCAGGUAGGAUUACCCGCUGAACUUAA